GUGGGGAAUAUUGGACAAUGGGCGAAAGCCUGAUCCAGCCAUGCCGCGUGUGUGAAGAAGGUCUUCGGAUUGUAAAGCACUUUAAGCGAGGAGGAGGCUACCGAGAUUAAUACUCUUGGAUAGUGGACGUUACUCGCAGAAUAAGCACCGGCUAACUCUGUGCCAGCAGCCGCGGUAAUACAGAGGGUGCAAGCGUUAAUCGGAUUUACUGGGCGUAAAGCGCGCGUAGGUGGUUUUGUAAGUUGGAGGUGAAAUCCCCGGGCUCAACCUGGGAACUGCCUCCAAAACUGCAUGACUAGAGUACGGUAGAGGGUAGUGGAAUUUCCUGUGUAGCGGUGAAAUGCGUAGAUAUAGGAAGGAACACCAGUGGCGAAGGCGACUACCUGGACUGAUACUGACACUGAGGUGCGAAAGCGUGGGGAGCAAACAGGAUUAGAAACCCGAGUAGUCC
rnacentral:rRNA from 1 species